rnacentral:rRNA from 1 species
UACGAAGGGGGCUAGCGUUGUUCGGAAUUACUGGGCGUAAAGCGCACGUAGGCGGAUACUUAAGUCAGGGGUGAAAUCCCGGGGCUCAACCCCGGAACUGCCUUUGAUACUGGGUAUCUCGAGUCCGGAAGAGGUGAGUGGAAUUCCGAGUGUAGAGGUGAAAUUCGUAGAUAUUCGGAGGAACACCAGUGGCGAAGGCGGCUCGCUGGGCUCUACCUGACGCUGAGGCGCGAAAGCGUGGGGAGCGAACCGG